UAAGCGACUAAGCGUACACGGUGGAUGCCCUGGCAGUCAGAGGCGAUGAAGGACGUGCUAAUCUGCGAAAAGCGCCGGCGAGGUGAUAUGAACCCUUGACCCGGCGAUGUCCGAAUGGGGAAACCCAGUGCAAUCCGUUGCACUAUCGUUAACUGAAUACAUAGGUUAACGAGGCGAACCGGGGGAACUGAAACAUCUAAGUACCCCGAGGAAAAGAAAUCAACCGAGAUUCCCCCAGUAGCGGCGAGCGAACGGGGAGCAGCCCGGAGUCUGAAUCAGCUUGUGUGUUAGUGGAACGGUCUGGAAAGUCCGACGGUACAGGGUGAUAGUCCCGUACACGAAAGCACACAUGCUGUGAACUCGAAGAGUAGGGCGGGACACGUGGUAUCCUGUCUGAAUAUGGGGGGACCAUCCUCCAAGGCUAAAUACUCCUGACUGACCGAUAGUGAACCAGUACCGUGAGGGAAAGGCGAAAAGAACCCCGGCGAGGGGAGUGAAAAAGAACCUGAAACCGUGUACGUACAAGCAGUGGGAGCCUCUUUAUGGGGUGACUGCGUACCUUUUGUAUAAUGGGUCAGCGACUUAUAUUCUGUAGCAAGGUUAACCGUAUAGGGGAGCCGAAGGGAAACCGAGUCUUAACUGGGCGUUAAGUUGCAGGGUAUAGACCCGAAACCCGGUGAUCUAGCCAUGGGCAGGUUGAAGGUUGGGUAACACUAACUGGAGGACCGAACCGACUAAUGUUGAAAAAUUAGCGGAUGACCUGUGGCUGGGGGUGAAAGGCCAAUCAAACCGGGAGAUAGCUGGUUCUCCCCGAAAGCUAUUUAGGUAGCGCCUCGUGAACUCAUCUUCGGGGGUAGAGCACUGUUUCGGCUAGGGGGCCAUCCCGGCUUACCAACCCGAUGCAAACUACGAAUACCGAAGAAUGUUAUCACGGGAGACACACGGCGGGUGCUAACGUCCGUCGUGAAGAGGGAAACAACCCAGACCGCCAGCUAAGGUCCCAAAGUCAUGGUUAAGUGGGAAACGAUGUGGGAAGGCACAGACAGCCAGGAUGUUGGCUUAGAAGCAGCCAUCAUUUAAAGAAAGCGUAAUAGCUCACUGGUCGAGUCGGCCUGCGCGGAAGAUGUAACGGGGCUAAACCAUGCACCGAAGCUGCGGCAGCGACGCUUAUGCGUUGUUGGGUAGGGGAGCGUUCUGUAAGCCGUUGAAGGUGUCCUGUGAGGGGUGCUGGAGGUAUCAGAAGUGCGAAUGCUGACAUAAGUAACGAUAAAGCGGGUGAAAAGCCCGCUCGCCGGAAGACCAAGGGUUCCUGUCCAACGUUAAUCGGGGCAGGGUGAGUCGACCCCUAAGGCGAGGCCGAAAGGCGUAGUCGAUGGGAAACAGGUUAAUAUUCCUGUACUUGGUGUUACUGCGAAGGGGGGACGGAGAAGGCUAUGUCAGCCGGGCGACGGUUGUCCCGGUUUAAGCAUGUAGGCGGAGGUUCCAGGUAAAUCCGGUACCUUAUUAACGCUGAGGUGUGAUGACGAGGCACUACGGUGCUGAAGUGAUAAAUGCCCUGCUUCCAGGAAAAGCCUCUAAGCAUCAGGUAACACGAAAUCGUACCCCAAACCGACACAGGUGGUCAGGUAGAGAAUACCAAGGCGCUUGAGAGAACUCGGGUGAAGGAACUAGGCAAAAUGGUGCCGUAACUUCGGGAGAAGGCACGCUGAUGUGUAGGUGAAGUCCCUGCGGACGGAGCUGAAAUCAGUCGAAGAUACCAGCUGGCUGCAACUGUUUAUUAAAAACACAGCACUGUGCAAACACGAAAGUGGACGUAUACGGUGUGACGCCUGCCCGGUGCCGGAAGGUUAAUUGAUGGGGUUAGCGGCAACGCGAAGCUCUUGAUCGAAGCCCCGGUAAACGGCGGCCGUAACUAUAACGGUCCUAAGGUAGCGAAAUUCCUUGUCGGGUAAGUUCCGACCUGCACGAAUGGCGUAAUGAUGGCCAGGCUGUCUCCACCCGAGACUCAGUGAAAUUGAACUCGCUGUGAAGAUGCAGUGUACCCGCGGCAAGACGGAAAGACCCCGUGAACCUUUACUAUAGCUUGACACUGAACACUGGUCCUUGAUGUGUAGGAUAGGUGGGAGGCUUUGAAGCGUGGACGCCAGUCUGCGUGGAGCCAACCUUGAAAUACCACCCUUUAAUGGCUGGUGUUCUAACGUAGACCCGUAAUCCGGGUUGCGGACAGUGUCUGGUGGGUAGUUUGACUGGGGCGGUCUCCUCCCAAAGAGUAACGGAGGAGCACGAAGGUUGGCUAAUCCUGGUCGGACAUCAGGAGGUUAGUGCAAUGGCAUAAGCCAGCUUGACUGCGAGCGUGACGGCGCGAGCAGGUGCGAAAGCAGGUCAUAGUGAUCCGGUGGUUCUGAAUGGAAGGGCCAUCGCUCAACGGAUAAAAGGUACUCCGGGGAUAACAGGCUGAUACCGCCCAAGAGUUCAUAUCGACGGCGGUGUUUGGCACCUCGAUGUCGGCUCAUCACAUCCUGGGGCUGAAGUAGGUCCCAAGGGUAUGGCUGUUCGCCAUUUAAAGUGGUACGCGAGCUGGGUUUAGAACGUCGUGAGACAGUUCGGUCCCUAUCUGCCGUGGGCGCUGGAGAAUUGAGGGGGGCUGCUCCUAGUACGAGAGGACCGGAGUGGACGCAUCACUGGUGUUCGGGUUGUCAUGCCAAUGGCACUGCCCGGUAGCUAAAUGCGGAAGAGAUAAGUGCUGAAAGCAUCUAAGCACGAAACUUGCCCCGAGAUGAGUUCUCCCUGAGACCUUGAGUCUCCUGAAGGAACGUUGAAGACGACGACGUUGAUAGGUCGGGUGUGUAAGCGCAGCGAUGCGUUGAGCUAACCGAUACUAAUGAACCGUGAGGCUUAACCU
rnacentral:rRNA from 1 species